GUGGGGAAUAUUGCACAAUGGGCGAAAGCCUGAUGCAGCAACGCCGCGUGAGGGACGACGGCCUUCGGGUUGUAAACCUCUUUUAGCAGGAAAGAAGCGAAAGUGACGGUACCUGCAGAAAAAGCGCCGGCUAACUACGUGCCAGCAGCCGCGGUAAUACGUAGGGCGCAAGCGUUAUCCGGAAUUAUUGGGCGUAAAGAGCUCGUAGGCGGUCUGUCGCGUCUGCUGUGAAAACCCGAGGCUCAACCUCGGGCCUGCAGUGGGUACGGGCAGACUAGAGUGCGGUAGGGGAGAUUGGAAUUCCUGGUGUAGCGGUGGAAUGCGCAGAUAUCAGGAGGAACACCGAUGGCGAAGGCAGAUCUCUGGGCCGUAACUGACGCUGAGGAGCGAAAGGGUGGGGAGCAAACAGGCUUAGAAACCCGUGUAGUCC
rnacentral:rRNA from 1 species